GGGGAAUUUUGGACAAUGGGGGCAACCCUGAUCCAGCCAUCCCGCGUGUGCGAUGAAGGCCUUCGGGUUGUAAAGCACUUUUGGCAGGGAAGAAAAGCCGCGGGUUAAUACCCUGCGGCGCUGACGGUACCUGCAGAAUAAGCACCGGCUAACUACGUGCCAGCAGCCGCGGUAAUACGUAGGGUGCAAGCGUUAAUCGGAAUUACUGGGCGUAAAGCGUGCGCAGGCGGUUCGGCAAGAAGGAUGUGAAAUCCCGGGGCUUAACCUCGGAACUGCAUUCUUAACUGCAGGGCUAGAGUAUGUCAGAGGGGGGUAGAAUUCCGCGUGUAGCAGUGAAAUGCGUAGAGAUGCGGAGGAAUACCGAUGGCGAAGGCAGCCCCCUGGGAUAAUACUGACGCUCAUGCACGAAAGCGUGGGGAGCAAAC
rnacentral:rRNA from 1 species